UUCCUGAUGUUGAGUCAGAAUCUCCUUUUUUGUAACUUGAAUCCAUUGGUCCUACCCUCCAGAGCAGGAGAAAACAAGCAUGCUUCCUCUUCCAUGUGACAGCCCUUAAGAUAUUUGAAGAUGUCUAUUCUAUCUCCUCUCAGUCCCCUCUUUUCCAAGCUAAACAUACCCAGAUCCUUCAAC